rnacentral:rRNA from 1 species
CCAGAGUGGAUCCUGAGUACGGCGGAACACGUGAAAUUCCGUCGGAAUCCGGGAGGACCAUCUCCCAAGGCUAAAUACUCCCUAGUGACCGAUAGUGAACCAGUACCGUGAGGGAAAGGUGAAAAGCACCCCGGAAGGGGAGUGAAACAGUUCCUGAAACCGUGUGCCUACAAGUAGUUAGAGCCCGUUAAUGGGUGAUAGCGUGCCUUUUGUAGAAUGAACCGGCGAGUUACGAUUUGUUGCAAGGUUAAGCGGAAAAAGCGGAGCCGUAGCGAAAGCGAGUCUGAAUAGGGCGCAUAAGUAACAGGUCGUAGACCCGAAACCAGGUGAUCUACCCAUGUCCAGGAUGAAGGUAAGGUAAUACUUACUGGAGGUCCGAACCCACGCACGUUGAAAAGUGCGGGGAUGAGGUGUGGGUAGCGGAGAAAUUCCAAUCGAACUUGGAGAUAGCUGGUUCUCUCCGAAAUAGCUUUAGGGCUAGCCUCGAGGUAAAGAGUCAUGGAGGUAGAGCACUGUUUGGACUAGGGGCCCUUCUCGGGUUACCGAAUUCAGAUAAACUCCGAAUGCCAUGUACUUAUACUCGGGAGUCAGACUGCGAGUGAUAAGAUCCGUAGUCGAAAGGGAAACAGCCCAGACCACCAGUUAAGGUCCCCAAAUAUAUGUUAAGUGGAAAAGGAUGUGGGGUUGCUUAGACAACCAGGAUGUUGGCUUAGAAGCAGCCACCAUUGAAAGAGUGCGUAAUAGCUCACUGGUCGAGUGACCCCGCGCCGAAAAUGUACCGGGGCUAAACAUAUUACCGAAACUGUGGAUGAACCUCUUUAGAGGUUCGUGGUAGGAGAGCGUUCUAAGGGCGGUGAAGUCAGACCGGAAGGACUGGUGGAGCGCUUAGAAGUGAGAAUGCCGGUAUGAGUAGCGAAAGAAGGGUGAGAAUCCCUUCCACCGAAUAUCUAAGGUUUCCUGAGGAAGGCUCGUCCGCUC